AAGAGGAGUGGCGAACGGGUGAGUAACACGUGGGUAACCUGCCCAUCAGAAGGGGAUAACACUUGGAAACAGGUGCUAAUACCGUAUAACAAUCGAAACCGCAUGGUUUUGAUUUGAAAGGCGCUUUCGGGUGUCGCUGAUGGAUGGACCCGCGGUGCAUUAGCUAGUUGGUGAGGUAACGGCUCACCAAGGCGACGAUGCAUAGCCGACCUGAGAGGGUGAUCGGCCACAUUGGGACUGAGACACGGCCCAAACUCCUACGGGAGGCAGCAGUAGGGAAUCUUCGGCAAUGGACGAAAGUCUGACCGAGCAACGCCGCGUGAGUGAAGAAGGUUUUCGGAUCGUAAAACUCUGUUGUUAGAGAAGAACAAGGAUGAGAGUAACUGUUCAUCCCUUGACGGUAUCUAACCAGAAAGCCACGGCUAACUACGUGCCAGCAGCCGCGGUAAUACGUAGGUGGCAAGCGUUGUCCGGAUUUAUUGGGCGUAAAGCGAGCGCAGGCGGUUUCUUAAGUCUGAUGUGAAAGCCCCCGGCUCAACCGGGGAGGGUCAUUGGAAACUGGGAGACUUGAGUGCAGAAGAGGAGAGUGGAAUUCCAUGUGUAGCGGUGAAAUGCGUAGAUAUAUGGAGGAACACCAGUGGCGAAGGCGGCUCUCUGGUCUGUAACUGACGCUGAGGCUCGAAAGCGUGGGGAGCAAACAGGAUUAGAUACCCUGGUAGUCCACGCCGUAAACGAUGAGUGCUAAGUGUUGGAGGGUUUCCGCCCUUCAGUGCUGCAGCUAACGCAUUAAGCACUCCGCCUGGGGAGUACGACCGCAAGGUUGAAACUCAAAGGAAUUGACGGGGGCCCGCACAAGCGGUGGAGCAUGUGGUUUAAUUCGAAGCAACGCGAAGAACCUUACCAGGUCUUGACAUCCUUUGACCACUCUAGAGAUAGAGCUUCCCCUUCGGGGGCAAAGUGACAGGUGGUGCAUGGUUGUCGUCAGCUCGUGUCGUGAGAUGUUGGGUUAAGUCCCGCAACGAGCGCAACCCUUAUUGUUAGUUGCCAUCAUUUAGUUGGGCACUCUAGCAAGACUGCCGGUGACAAACCGGAGGAAGGUGGGGAUGACGUCAAAUCAUCAUGCCCCUUAUGACCUGGGCUACACACGUGCUACA
rnacentral:rRNA from 1 species